AUGAUGGCUGGAGCUGCAGUGAUGAUCUCAUAGUCAUGAGCUGAUUUUAAGCAUAGAAUCCAUGUACUAAAGAAGUAGAAGAAGAAAGAGUGAGCCUGGAAAAUUUGCGAAAAUGGGAGCUGUUUUACCAGCCUGAAUCUCCCUGCCUUUAAACUUCACUUCCAUGAGCUCCCCCCUCGCUCUUUCUUGUCUGAAGGUUCCCUGACACCGUUGACAAGGCUGACACCACCAAUCAGCUUCGACUCAGCAAGGUCACUGUUCAGACUUGACUCGGGAUUGGCUGCUGCGCUUCAGCGUGUUAUUACUGUCUGAUUUGAUCGGAGGCAGGGGGUGGUCUCCAAUCAAACAGAGAAAAGGUCCUAGAGAAGGCCCUGGAAUGCUUACAAAACAUUUCCCUGGAGGACACUGUAGGAGGAAGUGAG